AGAGUUUGAUCCUGGGCUCAGGAUGAACGCUAGCGGCAGGCUUAAUACAUGCAAGUCGAACGGUAAGGUCUCUUCGGAGAUACACGAGUGGCGCACGGGUGCGUAACGCGUAUGCAACCUACCUUCAACUGGGGAAUAGCCCCGAGAAAUCGGGAUUAAUACCCCAUAACAUCCGAGUUUUGCAUAAUUUUCGGAUUAAAGCUCCGGCGGUUGAAGAUGGGCAUGCGUGACAUUAGCUAGUUGGUGAGGUAAUGGCUCACCAAGGCGACGAUGUCUAGGGGUCCUGAGAGGGUUAACCCCCACACUGGUACUGAGACACGGACCAGACUCCUACGGGAGGCAGCAGUAAGGAAUAUUGGGCAAUGGACGCAAGUCUGACCCAGCCAUGCCGCGUGCAGGAUGACUGCCCUACGGGUUGUAAACUGCUUUUGUACAGGAAAAAACUUCCGGUCGUGCACCGGGACUGAUGGUACUGUACGAAUAAGCAUCGGCUAACUCCGUGCCAGCAGCCGCGGUAAUACGGAGGAUGCAAGCGUUAUCCGGAUUUAUUGGGUUUAAAGGGUGCGCAGGCGGAAUGAUAAGUCAGUGGUGAAAUCUCCCGGCUCAACCGGGAAACUGCCAUUGAUACUGUUGUUCUUGAGUACAGUUGAAGUGGGCGGAAUGUGUCAUGUAGCGGUGAAAUGCUUAGAUAUGACACAGAACACCGAUAGCGAAGGCAGCUCACUAAGCUGUAACUGACGCUCAUGCACGAAAGCGUGGGGAUCAAACAGGAUUAGAUACCCUGGUAGUCCACGCUGUAAGCGAUGAUCACUCGUUGUUGGCGAUAUACAGUCAGCGACUGAGCGAAAGCAUUAAGUGAUCCACCUGGGGAGUACGACGGCAACGUUGAAACUCAAAGGAAUUGACGGGGGCCCGCACAAGCGGAGGAGCAUGUGGUUUAAUUCGAUGAUACGCGAGGAACCUUACCUGGGCUUAAAUGUAGGACGACCUUCCGCGAAAGCGGAAUUUCCUUCGGGACGGCCUACAAGGUGCUGCAUGGUUGUCGUCAGCUCGUGCCGUGAGGUGUCGGGUUAAGUCCCAUAACGAGCGCAACCCUUAUUCUUAGUUGCCAUCAGGUAAUGCUGGGAACUCUAAGAAAACUGCCUACGCAAGUAGUGAGGAAGGUGGGGAUGACGUCAAAUCAGCACGGCCCUUAUGUCCAGGGCGACACAC
rnacentral:rRNA from 1 species